rnacentral:lncRNA from 1 species
CUUAGAGGUAGUGAUCUCAGAUCAUUGUCACCAAGCACUUGUGAACGGAAAUCUGCUCUGGAGUAGAGUAGCCAACAGCAGUUAUCAUUGCUACUCCAUAGCAGCUCCUACCUUGAACUGUACCUGGUCAGCCCAGUCCCCAAUGGACCACAGGGAAGUAGUUACUGUUCACAUAAGGACAUGACCAACAGACAAUUUCCCUGGAUAUUCAAUUUUAAAAAGAUCCUGAUAUGGGAUAAUAUAAGUGGGUGUGUAUCUGACCACGGGUGGGUGUAUAACAGUAGGUUAUUAAAAGUACAUAUGUAGCUCUCACCAAACUUAAUCCUAAGAAAAAGUAUGAUCUCCACCAAAGAGGACAUUAUUUGUGCAAAAUGUAGUAUUGGAGCACAGCACGUUCACCAGGAGUCAGCUGUAGGCUCUGUAAUAUGUAUGUGUGUGUGUGUGUGUGUGUGUCUCUAUGUAUAUAUAUGUGUAUAUAUGUGUGUGUAUAUAUAUAUAUAUGUGUAUAUAUAUGUAUGAUAGGUUGUGCGUUAUAUUGAUAGCUCUCCCAAAAUGUACUCGUUUUUUAAAAUGUAGAGUGACCCGUUGUACUGCUACUUGAAUGAUAAUUAACUGGUGAACUGGGUUUAAGAUACAGACAUUUAGUUAUUCUCUAUUUGACUUUACACUAAUUCAUUAUUACAAUGAAGCUUUUUCAGCAAUAGAUCAUUUAGCUGAUCUUUGUUCCAUAAUCUAUCUUGUUCUAUCACCAAGUGUGUGACUCUGUCCCAAAAUGUUCAACCUGCUCUUGGCUGUGCUGUCUAAUUCCACCAUCAUUCACUUUCACCGCUCUGAAUUUAUGUUGCAGACUUUUUGUUCCUGGCUAGAUUGUUUCCAAAGGAUAAAAAAGAACGGAAACAAGGAAAUCAGCAUUUAUCAUUCUUUAUGAGAAAAAUAACAAAUAUUAUUUUGAGGCAUUAAAUGUCUGCAAGGAAUUAAGCUUAACACAGACAAUUUAUACCCUCCAGGUUUUUGUUUUUCACUGAUCACAAUGCAGAUUUUCAUCAGCGUAAAGAGACAAGGCAAUUUUUUUUUUCUUACCCACAUUUUUAAUAUGAUUUUAUGUUUUAAUGCAUUAAAAAAUAUAUAUACAUUGAAGGGGGAAAAAAAAAAACAACAAUCUUUGAGUUAAUCCCCUUAUUUGCAGUUAAUUGGAGGCCGGAGAUAGCUGGAAUGGUCCAAAUGGGCCUUGAAUUAAAGUGGUACUGUCACCGUCUGGGGAGUUUGCACAUUUCAUCACUAGGGGUUCAGUUUCUGGAAUGGCAGGUAAAAGUUAGAUUUACUUGACUGAACCUGUCCCUUACGGGUGCUGCCAUCUUCCUCUGGACGGUUCUCUUCAGCCGUUUCGACAUGCAUGCGUGGGACUGCGGCAUUGAGGUCUAUAGGGGAUUCCGUGCAGCCUUCACUGAUGAUGGUUAUGUGAAUUGACAUUUCUGGACACUUCCGUUCAGUGUCUAGAAAUGUUAGUCUAUACUUUGUCUCAGUAUCUCCUGACUGGGUUGGAAUUUCAGUGAAUUCCCGUGAAAUUUCAUACUUUAUGAUAGGGGUGACAGUGUUACUUUAAUUUUACUACUUAAAUGUACCCACCAUACCAAAAUACUCAUGCUCUUGUAAUUUAUAGCCUUUGGAUUUUAUUAAUAGUUUACAUGUGGGGACAUAGUUUAAUCCACAGUGGUAACAUUAGCGAAUGAACAAAUUAAGGGCUCUGACGCUUUUAUUGCUGUAAAAAAUAGCUCUUUAAUAUUUGUAUAUCCUUUACAUCACUGCGACUGACAUUAUGGUGAAUUUCUAAUAAACUAAAAAAAACAUAUUUUGUGGAGAUCACAUUACUCUGGAGUUCUGUGAUACUCCUUUACUCAAUCGUUUACUUUUAGAUUGCUUUGGAGCUUUGUGAUAAUCAUGCACAUCACAUGUCGAGAAUUUUAUCGUUGUGACACACGAUGAGCCUUAUUGUCGAGGAGCUCUGUAAUCUAAUCAUACUCGCUGUACAUUAUUAUCUAUGUGGUUUGUUCUCAAACCAGUCCUCAUGGCACACCAAGAAUCCAAGAUUUAUG